rnacentral:lncRNA from 1 species
UUGGGAUUCUGAGAUUAGGGACUGUAGAGAGGAGAGUGUGGUGGAGAGCUCGAGAAUCGGUGGUGGAGAUGGAGCGAUGGAGAGAGUGUUGAGAUUUUGGAGAGGAGGAGGAGGAGGUUGGAAGGAGAAAUUGGGAUUAGGGUUAAGUGGAGGACAUUGGUGGAAGAAGUUGAGAUUAGGGUUUUGAUAGUGAGGAAACGACGGUGGUCGAUCCAUCCGGCGACGGCGAACUUCACAGACAAACUAG